AUGUUAUUUUAAUAUCUAGAGUGUAACACCACCAGUCCCUCCUGCAAGACAUUACAGUGUAGCUGGCAAUAUGAAGGUGAACUUUCCACAGACUCGCAUAGCCACAGAAGUUUUCAAAAUUGGCAAACAUGUCUGGCUUCAAGAAGGUGAUGAUGUAAAGGUCUUGAUGCCUUCCUCAACCAAAGAUGGACAUUUGACGGUACAGUUUCAAGGUGUUACUCAGGAUGUUCCACAUCACAUUGUACAACUCCGGACCAUGGGUACAUUAUUAUAAAACAACCACUUAUACAAGUGGGAGAAGUAUGAACCAACAACAGAUAUUGUAUGAGAUUGCUUAAUUCACUAGACACAAAAGGUAAAUCUCCUUCAAAUUACAUUCUGCUGCCUCGAAUUGUUGUACAAUUUAAUCCCAGAUAUGCAGAAUAACAAGAUUGUUGCUGGAAUACCUUCAAUCAUAGGUCUCUCACUCAAUAAGAAACGACCAGGGACUGAACAACAUCAGAAAGUAAGAGAACACAGAAAAGAAUAUGGUUUUUUUUUUCUUUGAAGUAUAUUUUAAAGUUUUAUCCCAUUCAAUGCAAACUUACACAAGAAAGUUGGUCAGACGUCUUAGAUUUCACUUUUUAUUUUUUAAAUUUAUUCUGUGUCAGAUAAUGUGACAUUCAAAGAGUUUGUGGGUGCUGUUAGUAAGACUAGGAACAUUUUUGAAAGACAGAAAAUAAGUUUAAUACAAGUUAUAAAACAUGUGUGAUGAAAAUUGCAAUGAGUAAAUUUGUGCUGAGUCAUAGUUAUACAGGAUCUCUUUGCAUUGCUUGAAGUCAAAAUGAAAUGAUAGGAACAAUUAAUUAAAUAUACUCCAUUUUGAAACGAACUAAAUUUAUAUUUCAAAUCGUUAUAUAUAUAUAUGUACGUAUGUGUGGCGAGCUGGCAGAAACGUUAGCUCACCGGGCGAAAUGCUUAGCGGUAUUUCGUCUGCCGUUACGUUCUGAGUUCAAAUUCCGCCGAGGUCGACUUAGCCUGUCAUCCUUUCGGGGUCGAUAAAUUAAGUACCAGUUACGCACUGGGGAUCGAUGUAAUUGACUUAAUCCCUUUGUCUGUCCUUGUUUGUCUCCUCUAUGUUUAGCCCCUUGUGGGUAAUAAAGAAAUAAGAAAUAAGAAGUUUGCUUCCCAGCCAUGGUUAUAGGUUCAAUCCCACAGAAUGGCACCUUGAGCAAAUGCCUUGGACAGACCAGAGCCUCGUGAGUGGAUUUGGUAGGCGGAAAUUGAAAGAAGCUUGUUUCGUGUGUGUCUCCUUGUCCUCACAUCACAUAUCAUCAUCAUCAUCAUCAUUUAACAUCCGUCUUCCAUACUGGAAUGAGUUUGACUGAAACCUGGUACGUUGCACCAGGUUUCAGUCUGAUUUGGCAUGGUUUCUACACCUGGAUGCCCUUCCUAAUGCCAACCACUCCGAGAGUGUAGUGGAUGCUUUCUAUGUGUUAGUUACAAGACACUGGGAUCGGCCACGAUUACGAUCUCACUUGGCUUGACAGGUUUUCUCAAGCACAGUAUAUUGCCAAAGGUUUCAGUCACUUGUUUUCAGUAUUCUUGUUUUCUGCACACAUCUACAAAAUGACUUUCUAAAAUGAAAUUCCAUUAUGCAGCUGAGGAGUACAUUUUCAUUGUACAUUUUAUGUAGUGUUCUCACUACACGAAUAAAUGAAGUUUGUACGAAGCGUAUGUACUGCUAUAACCUAUUGAA